GAUGAACGCUGGUGGCGUGCCUUAUGCAUGCAAGUCGAACGCCCCACCGCAAGGUGGGGAGUGGCAAACGGGUGUGUAAUACGUAAGUAACCUGCCCUCAAGUGGGGAACAACUCUGAGAAAUCGGGGCUAAUACCGCGUGUGAUUCCCAACCGCGAGGUUGAGAAUUAAAGCCUUCGGGCGCUUGAGGAGGGGCUUGCGUCCUAUCAGGUAGUUGGUGGGGUAAAGGCUCACCAAGCCGAUGACGGGUAGCUGGUCUGAGAGGAUGGUCAGCCACACUGGGACUGCGACACGGCCCAGACUCCUACGGGAGGCAGCAGCAAGGAAUAUUGUGCAAUGGGCGAAAGCCUGACACAGCGACGCCGCGUGAGGGACGAAGGCCUUCGGGUCGUAAACCUCUUUUCCCAGGGAGGAGUAAGGACAGUACCUGGGGAAUAAGCCACGGCUAACUACGUGCCAGCAGCCGCGGUAAGAC
rnacentral:rRNA from 1 species